rnacentral:rRNA from 1 species
GGAAACGAUGGCUAAUACCGCAUAAUGCCUUCGGGCCAAAGAGGGGGACCUUCGGGCCUCUCGCGUCAGGAUAUGCCUAGGUGGGAUUAGCUAGUUGGUGAGGUAAGGGCUCACCAAGGCGACGAUCCCUAGCUGGUCUGAGAGGAUGAUCAGCCACACUGGAACUGAGACACGGUCCAGACUCCUACGGGAGGCAGCAGUGGGGAAUAUUGCACAAUGGGCGCAAGCCUGAUGCAGCCAUGCCGCGUGUGUGAAGAAGGCCUUCGGGUUGUAAAGCACUUUCAGUCGUGAGGAAGGCGGUAAUGUUAAUAGCAUUAUCGUUUGACGUUAGCGACAGAAGAAGCACCGGCUAACUCCGUGCCAGCAGCCGCGGUAAUACGGAGGGUGCGAGCGUUAAUCGGAAUUACUGGGCGUAAAGCGCAUGCAGGUGGUUUGUUAAGUCAGAUGUGAAAGCCCGGGGCUCAACCUCGGAAUUGCAUUUGAAACUGGCAGACUAGAGUACUGUAGAGGGGGGUAGAAUUUCAGGUGUAGCGGUGAAAUGCGUAGAGAUCUGAAGGAAUACCGGUGGCGAAGGCGGCCCCCUGGACAGAUACUGACACUCAGA